GCCUGGAUGGCUCAGUCGGUUGAGCGUCAGACUUCAGCUCAGGUCAUGAUCUCACGGUUUGUGGGUUCGAGCCCCACAUUGGGCU
rnacentral:tRNA from 1 species